rnacentral:rRNA from 1 species
UACGGGGGGAGCAAGCGUUGUUCGGAUUUACUGGGCGUAAAGGGCGCGUAGGCGGUCAGCACAAGUCAGUUGUGAAAUCUCCGGGCUUAACUCGGAAAGGUCAACUGAUACUGUGCGACUAGAGUGCGGAAGGGGCAACUGGAAUUCUCGGUGUAGCGGUGAAAUGCGUAGAGAUCAGGAGGAACACCCGUGGCGAAGGCGGCCCUCUGGCUCGACCCUGACGCUGAGGCGCGAAAGCGUGGGGAGCGAACGGG